CCACGCGCCGCAUGUGUACCCAGGAGGUCCGUUUAGUGUGUCUGUGUGUGUGCUCCCUCCAUCCCCGCCUUCUGCAGGAUUAUACACCUCAGGGAUGAUACAGGAGACUCAGGAAGACGGAGCGGGAGCGUCCUGGACACCCUGUGGGGAGUGACGUCAACUCCUCGGGGAGAUGGCGCCGCUGCCCGCGAUGCCCCUGGAGCAGCGGAACGCCCACGAGAUGAUGUGUGCCAACUGCGGGUACUCCCAAUGCCCGCACACUAACAACGGCGAGAAACAUCAAAAGAAAUAAAACACGAAAAUGAAACUCCAUGUGUUGGGGUGAGGCCGUCGUCGAGAGCCUGCCAACACCUCCGGGUAUGAUGUCCUAGUGCAACACAAGACGGUAUUUUUUGGUGGAGAAGCGGCAAUACAACAUAGUGUGGUGUGCCUGUGCAGGAAGUGUGUUGCAGUGUAUUUCGUUUUCCAAGUUACGUGUGUUUCGUCACGGUGUAAA